rnacentral:rRNA from 1 species
GGUUAAGCGACUAAGCGUACACGGUGGAUGCCCUGGCAGUCAGAGGCGAUGAAGGACGUGCUAAUCUGCGAUAAGCGUCGGUAAGGUGAUAUGAACCGUUAUAACCGGCGAUUUCCGAAUGGGGAAACCCAGUGUGUUUCGACACACUAUCAUUAACUGAAUCCAUAGGUUAAUGAGGCGAACCGGGGGAACUGAAACAUCUAAGUACCCCGAGGAAAAGAAAUCAACCGAGAUUCCCCCAGUAGCGGCGAGCGAACGGGGAGGAGCCCAGAGCCUGAAUCAGUGUGUGUGUUAGUGGAAGCGUCUGGAAAGGCGCGCGAUACAGGGUGACAGCCCCGUACACAAAAAUGCACAUAUUGUGAGCUCGAUGAGUAGGGCGGGACACGUGGUAUCCUGUCUGAAUAUGGGGGGACCAUCCUCCAAGGCUAAAUACUCCUGACUGACCGAUAGUGAACCAGUACCGUGAGGGAAAGGCGAAAAGAACCCCGGCGAGGGGAGUGAAAAAGAACCUGAAACCGUGUACGUACAAGCAGUGGGAGCCUCUUUUAUGGGGUGACUGCGUACCUUUUGUAUAAUGGGUCAGCGACUUAUAUUCUGUAGCAAGGUUAACCGAAUAGGGGAGCCGAAGGGAAACCGAGUCUUAACUGGGCGUUAAGUUGCAGGGUAUAGACCCGAAACCCGGUGAUCUAGCCAUGGGCAGGUUGAAGGUUGGGUAACACUAACUGGAGGACCGAACCGACUAAUGUUGAAAAAUUAGCGGAUGACUUGUGGCUGGGGGUGAAAGGCCAAUCAAACCGGGAGAUAGCUGGUUCUCCCCGAAAGCUAUUUAGGUAGCGCCUCGUGAAUUCAUCUCCGGGGGUAGAGCACUGUUUCGGCAAGGGGGUCAUCCCGACUUACCAACCCGAUGCAAACUGCGAAUACCGGAGAAUGUUAUCACGGGAGACACACGGCGGGUGCUAACGUCCGUCGUGAAGAGGGAAACAACCCAGACCGCCAGCUAAGGUCCCAAAGUCAUGGUUAAGUGGGAAACGAUGUGGGAAGGCCCAGACAGCCAGGAUGUUGGCUUAGAAGCAGCCAUCAUUUAAAGAAAGCGUAAUAGCUCACUGGUCGAGUCGGCCUGCGCGGAAGAUGUAACGGGGCUAAACCAUGCACCGAAGCUGCGGCAGCGACACUAUGUGUUGUUGGGUAGGGGAGCGUUCUGUAAGCCUGUGAAGGUGUGCUGUGAGGCAUGCUGGAGGUAUCAGAAGUGCGAAUGCUGACAUAAGUAACGAUAAAGCGGGUGAAAAGCCCGCUCGCCGGAAGACCAAGGGUUCCUGUCCAACGUUAAUCGGGGCAGGGUGAGUCGACCCCUAAGGCGAGGCCGAAAGGCGUAGUCGAUGGGAAACAGGUUAAUAUUCCUGUACUUGGUGUUACUGCGAAGGGGGGACGGAGAAGGCUAUGUUGGCCGGGCGACGGUUGUCCCGGUUUAAGCGUGUAGGCUGGUUUUCCAGGCAAAUCCGGAAAAUCAAGGCUGAGGCGUGAUGACGAGGCACUACGGUGCUGAAGCAACAAAUGCCCUGCUUCCAGGAAAAGCCUCUAAGCAUCAGGUAACAUCAAAUCGUACCCCAAACCGACACAGGUGGUCAGGUAGAGAAUACCAAGGCGCUUGAGAGAACUCGGGUGAAGGAACUAGGCAAAAUGGUGCCGUAACUUCGGGAGAAGGCACGCUGAUAUGUAGGUGAAGUCCCUCGCGGAUGGAGCUGAAAUCAGUCGAAGAUACCAGCUGGCUGCAACUGUUUAUUAAAAACACAGCACUGUGCAAACACGAAAGUGGACGUAUACGGUGUGACGCCUGCCCGGUGCCGGAAGGUUAAUUGAUGGGGUUAGCGCAAGCGAAGCUCUUGAUCGAAGCCCCGGUAAACGGCGGCCGUAACUAUAACGGUCCUAAGGUAGCGAAAUUCCUUGUCGGGUAAGUUCCGACCUGCACGAAUGGCGUAAUGAUGGCCAGGCUGUCUCCACCCGAGACUCAGUGAAAUUGAACUCGCUGUGAAGAUGCAGUGUACCCGCGGCAAGACGGAAAGACCCCGUGAACCUUUACUAUAGCUUGACACUGAACAUUGAGCCUUGAUGUGUAGGAUAGGUGGGAGGCUUAGAAGUGUGGACGCCAGUCUGCAUGGAGCCGACCUUGAAAUACCACCCUUUAAUGUUUGAUGUUCUAACGUUGACCCGUGAUCCGGGUUGCGGACAGUGUCUGGUGGGUAGUUUGACUGGGGCGGUCUCCUCCUAAAGAGUAACGGAGGAGCACGAAGGUUGGCUAAUCCUGGUCGGACAUCAGGAGGUUAGUGCAAUGGCAUAAGCCAGCUUGACUGCGAGCGUGACGGCGCGAGCAGGUGCGAAAGCAGGUCAUAGUGAUCCGGUGGUUCUGAAUGGAAGGGCCAUCGCUCAACGGAUAAAAGGUACUCCGGGGAUAACAGGCUGAUACCGCCCAAGAGUUCAUAUCGACGGCGGUGUUUGGCACCUCGAUGUCGGCUCAUCACAUCCUGGGGCUGAAGUAGGUCCCAAGGGUAUGGCUGUUCGCCAUUUAAAGUGGUACGCGAGCUGGGUUUAGAACGUCGUGAGACAGUUCGGUCCCUAUCUGCCGUGGGCGCUGGAGAACUGAGGGGGGCUGCUCCUAGUACGAGAGGACCGGAGUGGACGCAUCACUGGUGUUCGGGUUGUCAUGCCAAUGGCACUGCCCGGUAGCUAAAUGCGGAAGAGAUAAGUGCUGAAAGCAUCUAAGCACGAAACUUGCCCCGAGAUGAGUUCUCCCUGACCCUUUAAGGGUCCUGAAGGAACGUUGAAGACGACGACGUUGAUAGGCCGGGUGUGUAAGCGCAGCGAUGCGUUGAGCUAACCGGUACUAAUGAACCGUGAGGCUUAACCUU